rnacentral:rRNA from 1 species
UACGGAGGAGGCAAGCGUUAUCCGGAAUUAUUGGGCGUAAAGCGUCCGCAGGUGGCACUUCAAGUCUGUCGUCAAAGACUGGGGCUUAACCCUGGAAAGGCGGUGGAAACUGAAGCGCUAGAGUGCGGUAGGGGUAGAGGGAAUUCCCGGUGUAGCGGCGAAAUGCGUAGAGAUCGGGAAGAACAUCGGUGGCGAAAGCGCUCUACUGGACCGCAACUGACACUCAGGGACGAAAGCUAGGGGAGCGAAUGGG